UAUUAUUUUUGAUGUUAAUUAUUUAACUUGAGUAGUAAUAGAUAUGGUCUUGAAACUUAAAGAAUUUGGCAGUAUUUUAUUCUGUUCAGAGGAACCUGUUCUUUUAUCGAUAAUCCUCGUUGGACCUUACUUAGUUUAUUGAUUUGUAUACCGCCGUUGUAUUGAGAAUCUUUUUAGUGUUUAAAUUUUCUAGUUUUUAUUUUAGUUUAUUUCAGGUCAAGGUGCAAUUUAUGAUUAAGUAGAAAUGGGUUACGUUUAUAUUUAUUUUUGGAUUAUUAAAUGGAAUUUUGAUAUGAAAUUGGAUUUGAAUGUAAUUGUUAUUUUAGAUUGUAUUGAUGAUUUAGUUUCUAGAAUGUGUACAUAUCGCCCGUCACUCUCGUUAUUUAUUCGAG
rnacentral:rRNA from 1 species